rnacentral:rRNA from 1 species
UACGGGGGGGGCAAGCGUUGUUCGGAAUUACUGGGCGUAAAGGGUUCGUAGGUGGCCAACUAAGUCAGACGUGAAAUCCCUCAGCUUAACUGGGGAACUGCGUCUGAUACUGGUUGGCUUGAGUGCAGGAGAGGAACGCGGAAUUCCGGGUGUAGCGGUGAAAUGCGUAGAUAUCUGGAGGAACACCGGUGGCGAAGGCGGCGUUCUGGACUGCAACUGACACUGAGGAGCGAAAGCGUGGGGAGCGAACAGG